GACGAACGCUGGCGGCGUGCUUAACACAUGCAAGUCGAACGGAAAGGCCCUGCUUUUGUGGGGUGCUCGAGUGGCGAACGGGUGAGUAACACGUGAGUAACCUGCCCUUGACUUUGGGAUAACUUCAGGAAACUGGGGCUAAUACCGGAUAGGAGCUCCUGCUGCAUGGGGGGGGUUGGAAAGUUUCGGCGGUUGGGGAUGGACUAGCGGGUUAUCAGCUUGUUGGUGGGGUAGUGGAUUACCAAGGCUUUGACGGGUAGCCGGCCUGAGAGGGUGACCGGCCACCUUGGGACUGCGGUACGGCCCAGACGCCUACGGGAGGCAGCAGUGGGGAAUAUUGCACAAUGGGCGGAAGCCUGAUGCAGCAACGCCGCGUUCGUGAUGACGGCCUUCGGGUUGUAAACCGCUUUCGCCUGUGACGAAGCGUGAGUGACGGUAAUGGGUAAAGAAGCACCGGCUAACUACGUG
rnacentral:rRNA from 1 species